CUUAUAUACCAUCUUGAGGUUACAGAAAGAAUGGAGUUUCAAAGCCUUAAAAGACAAACGUCAGCUGAAUUAAAAUGUAAAGGAGUUCAGCUGAGCAAUGAGUGAUUCGCAAAUCGGGCAGCCCCCAGAAUCACAGCAGAUUCUGAGAGUCUUCAGGGGCAGUGGCAUCCUCAUGCAAGCUGGUCUACUGGUGGCUGCCCCUGUGACCUGCUUCUGAAUGGCCAGGCAGGAAAAGUCUCCCACUGUGUUGCAUUUAAAGAAAAGAAAAAGAUGAAUUAAGUAAAAAGCUCUGCAAACAACUGAGUGUAAUUAUUGGAUAUGUAUAAACUUAUGCAUAUUUUCCUUUUUUUAAUUAUACUUUAAGUUCUAGGGCACAUGUGCACAACGUGCAGGUUAGUUACAUAUGUAUACAUGUGCCAUGUUGGUGUGCUGCACCCAUUAACUCGUCAUUUAACAUUCGGUAUAUCUCCUAAUGCUAUCCCUCCCCCCUCCCCCCACCCCACAACAGGCCCUGGUAUGUGAUGUUCCCCUUCCUGUGUCCAUGUGUUCUCAUUGUUCAAUUCCC
rnacentral:lncRNA from 10 species